rnacentral:rRNA from 1 species
AGAACGAACGCUGGCGGCAGGCCUAACACAUGCAAGUCGAACGCCCCCCUUCGGGGGGAGUGGCGCACGGGUGAGUAACGCGUGGGAAUCUGCCCUUUGGUCUGGAAUAACCCUGGGAAACUAGGGCUAACACCGGAUAAGCCCGAGAGGGGAAAGUUUACGCCGAAGGAGGAGCCCGCGUCCGAUUAGCUAGGUUGGGGGGUAAAGCCCACCAAGGCGACGAUCCGUAGCUGGUCUGAGGGAUGUAGUACACGCACACUGGAACGUGAGACACGGUCCACGACUCUACGGGA